rnacentral:lncRNA from 1 species
CACUUAGCUGGUAUUUCAGCUUUUUCAUUGCUAAUAAAUCCCCAAUCAACUGUCUUUGAGGGUUGAUUAAUAUUGAUCUUUUAUAGCUUCCAUUUUGCUCUUCAACAUACUAUUUGAUGUUGUCGGGGUAGAGAGAAUUUGCCUCAAGAAAACGAUGGGCUUCUGGCUGUCAUUAAUUAUUCAUUCAAGCUUGAAAAUAAGGAAAGC